rnacentral:lncRNA from 1 species
AGCAGUUACAAUGGUGGUUUGCUGGGAAGCAGUUGAAUGUUGUUCAGUGGAUUCCAUUUGCUAAGAGAAGUUGUACACUUGUUGUUGUUGUGAAUCCAUGAAGAAGAUGAAGAACAAGUGAAGAACAUUGAAGAACUUAGAGAGAGGGUUGAUGACAAGGGUUUGUGUUGGCUGUGAGUGAAAAGGGUGAACGUGGGAGUUGUGGCAUGAAUAUAUACACAAUGUUGGCAUGCAA